UACAGAGGUCUCAAGCGUUGUUCGGAAUCACUGGGCGUAAAGGGUGCGUAGGCGGGUCUUUAAGUCAGGGGUGAAAUCCUGGAGCUCAACUCCAGAACUGCCUUUGAUACUGAGGAUCUUGAGUUCGGGAGAGGUGAGUGGAACUGCGAGUGUAGAGGUGAAAUUCGUAGAUAUUCGCAAGAACACCAGUGGCGAAGGCGGCUCACUGGCCCGAUACUGACGCUGAGGCACGAAAGCGUGGGGAGCAAACAGG
rnacentral:rRNA from 1 species